rnacentral:rRNA from 1 species
GCCCAGACUCCUACGGGAGGCAGCAGUGGGGAAUAUUGGACAAUGGGCGGAAGCCUGAUCCAGCAACGCCGCGUGAGGGAUGACGGCCUUCGGGUUGUAAACCUCUUUCAGCGGGGACGAAGCGCCGAUGAUGGUGGUGACGGUACCCGCAGAAGAAGCACCGGCCAACUACGUGCCAGCAGCCGCGGUAAUACGUAGGGUGCGAGCGUUGUCCGGAAUUAUUGGGCGUAAAGGGCUCGUAGGCGGUUUGUCGCGCCGGGAGUGAAAACACCGGGCUUAACUCGGUGCUUGCUUUCGAUACGGGCAGACUAGAGGUAUGCAGGGGAGAACGGAAUUCCUGGUGUAGCGGUGAAAUGCGCAGAUAUCAGGAGGAACAUCGGUGGCGAAGGCGGUUCUCUGGGCAUUACCUGACGCUGAGGAGCGAAAGUGUGGGGAGCG